rnacentral:lncRNA from 1 species
UACCUCAACCAUCUUCCCAUAUUGCUUCUUAACCUCAGUAUUCAAGCACUUAAGAUUUUUUUUUUUGAGAAUAUAGACAUACCCAUAUUAAGAAAAGUCAUCAAUAAUAGUAAUAAAAAAUCUAUUAUCAUAAAUAGAAAGACUUAGGGGUCUACUUAUGUUGGUUUGAAUGAGUUCUAAAGGUCCAUUACUACCUGUGGACUCCUUACUUUUAGUUUUGAUAAAAUUGCCACU